rnacentral:lncRNA from 1 species
GGAAACCAAACACUAUAAUCAUUUGCACUUUGUGCCCACAGAUGACCGCUGGUUACCUCUUGCCAGGUGGACACUGAGCCCUGAUGCAGCCAUCGGGGAGACCUGGUGCGGGCAGCAGAGGGAACCCAUGGAGAUGCCAAGGGGUCCAAUGGUCAGUGCUUGGUCAGGAGCUUCUGCGGUUAGUGGUGAAUGCAGGAUUCCAUCUCCGAUCAGUCUGCGCCGAACUCUCCCAGCAACAAGAUUGUCAUCAUUUCAUUUCACACUCAUCCAUCGGCAACACAAAGGGCUCCUCUAAGAGAUGGGGCUCAGAGACCCACAUCCAAGCAAUAAAAAUGAAUUCCUUCUGGUGGUCUGCAAUGAUGCAAAUGGAUUCAGUGUCUGACUUUAAUGGGGACAGGGAAAUCGCUACCAGAUGACUGCCGC